GGAUCGAUGAUGACACCCACAAACACAUUCCAUGGAAAAUCUGAACAAAAUGAGUGAGAACUCACUACCGU
rnacentral:snoRNA from 1 species